UACGGAGGGUGCGAGCGUUGUCCGGAAUCACUGGGCGUAAAGGGCGCGUAGGCGGCCUGAUAAGUCGGGGGUGAAAUCCUGCGGCUUAACCGCAGGGCUGCCUUCUAAACUGUCAGGCUAGAGCACAGUAGAGGCAGGUGGAAUUCCCGGUGUAGCGGUGGAAUGCGUAGAGAUCGGGAAGAACACCGGUGGCGAAGGCGACGUGCUGGGUUGCAACUGACGCUGAGAUGCGAAAGUGUGGGGAGCAAACAGG
rnacentral:rRNA from 1 species